CCCCGGCGAGGGGAGUGAAAAAGAACCUGAAACCGUGUACGUACAAGCAGUGGGAGCCUCUUUAUGGGGUGACUGCGUACCUUUUGUAUAAUGGGUCAGCGACUUAUAUUCUGUAGCAAGGUUAACCGAAUAGGGGAGCCGAAGGGAAACCGAGUCUUAACUGGGCGUUAAGUUGCAGGGUAUAGACCCGAAACCCGGUGAUCUAGCCAUGGGCAGGUUGAAGGUUGGGUAACACUAACUGGAGGACCGAACCGACUAAUGUUGAAAAAUUAGCGGAUGACUUGUGGCUGGGGGUGAAAGGCCAAUCAAACCGGGAGAUAGCUGGUUCUCCCCGAAAGCUAUUUAGGUAGCGCCUCGUGAAUUCAUCUCCGGGGGUAGAGCACUGUUUCGGCAAGGGGGUCAUCCCGACUUACCAACCCGAUGCAAACUGCGAAUACCGGAGAAUGUUAUCACGGGAGACACACGGCGGGUGCUAACGUCCGUCGUGAAGAGGGAAACAACCCAGACCGCCAGCUAAGGUCCCAAAGUCAUGGUUAAGUGGGAAACGAUGUGGGAAGGCCCAGACAGCCAGGAUGUUGGCUUAGAAGCAGCCAUCAUUUAAAGAAAGCGUAAUAGCUCACUGGUCGAGUCGGCCUGCGCGGAAGAUGUAACGGGGCUAAACCAUGCACCGAAGCUGCGGCAGCGACACUAUGUGUUGUUGGGUAGGGGAGCGUUCUGUAAGCCUGUGAAGGUGGCCUGUGAGGGUUGCUGGAGGUAUCAGAAGUGCGAAUGCUGACAUAAGUAACGAUAAAGCGGGUGAAAAGCCCGCUCGCCGGAAGACCAAGGGUUCCUGUCCAACGUUAAUCGGGGCAGGGUGAGUCGACCCCUAAGGCGAGGCCGAAAGGCGUAGUCGAUGGGAAACAGGUUAAUAUUCCUGUACUUGGUGUUACUGCGAAGGGGGGACGGAGAAGGCUAUGUUGGCCGGGCGACGGUUGUCCCGGUUUAAGCGUGUAGGCUGGUUUUCCAGGCAAAUCCGGAAAACCAAGGCUGAGGCGUGAUGACGAGGCACUACGGUGCUGAAGCGACAAAUGCCCUGCUUCCAGGAAAAGCCUCUAAGCAUCAGGUAACAUCAAAUCGUACCCCAAACCGACACAGGUGGUCAGGUAGAGAAUACCAAGGCGCUUGAGAGAACUCGGGUGAAGGAACUAGGCAAAAUGGUGCCGUAACUUCGGGAGAAGGCACGCUGAUAUGUAGGUGAAGCGACUUGCUCGUGGAGCUGAAAUCAGUCGAAGAUACCAGCUGGCUGCAACUGUUUAUUAAAAACACAGCACUGUGCAAACACGAAAGUGGACGUAUACGGUGUGACGCCUGCCCGGUGCCGGAAGGUUAAUUGAUGGGGUUAGCGGUAACGCGAAGCUCUUGAUCGAAGCCCCGGUAAACGGCGGCCGUAACUAUAACGGUCCUAAGGUAGCGAAAUUCCUUGUCGGGUAAGUUCCGACCUGCACGAAUGGCGUAAUGAUGGCCAGGCUGUCUCCACCCGAGACUCAGUGAAAUUGAACUCGCUGUGAAGAUGCAGUGUACCCGCGGCAAGACGGAAAGACCCCGUGAACCUUUACUAUAGCUUGACACUGAACAUUGAGCCUUGAUGUGUAGGAUAGGUGGGAGGCUUUGAAGUGUGGACGCCAGUCUGCAUGGAGCCGACCUUGAAAUACCACCCUUUAAUGUUUGAUGUUCUAACGUUGGCCCGUAAUCCGGGUUGCGGACAGUGUCUGGUGGGUAGUUUGACUGGGGCGGUCUCCUCCUAAAGAGUAACGGAGGAGCACGAAGGUUGGCUAAUCCUGGUCGGACAUCAGGAGGUUAGUGCAAUGGCAUAAGCCAGCUUGACUGCGAGCGUGACGGCGCGAGCAGGUGCGAAAGCAGGUCAUAGUGAUCCGGUGGUUCUGAAUGGAAGGGCCAUCGCUCAACGGAUAAAAGGUACUCCGGGGAUAACAGGCUGAUACCGCCCAAGAGUUCAUAUCGACGGCGGUGUUUGGCACCUCGAUGUCGGCUCAUCACAUCCUGGGGCUGAAGUAGGUCCCAAGGGUAUGGCUGUUCGCCAUUUAAAGUGGUACGCGAGCUGGGUUUAGAACGUCGUGAGACAGUUCGGUCCCUAUCUGCCGUGGGCGCUGGAGAACUGAGGGGGGCUGCUCCUAGUACGAGAGGACCGGAGUGGACGCAUCACUGGUGUUCGGGUUGUCAUGCCAAUGGCACUGCCCGGUAGCUAAAUGCGGAAGAGAUAAGUGCUGAAAGCAUCUAAGCACGAAACUUGCCCCGAGAUGAGUUCUCCCUGACUCCUUGAGAGUCCUGAAGGAACGUUGAAGACGACGACGUUGAUAGGCCGGGUGUGUAAGCGCAGCGAUGCGUUGAGCUAACCGGUACUAAUGAACCGUGAGGCUUAACC
rnacentral:rRNA from 1 species